rnacentral:rRNA from 1 species
GACGAACGCUGGCGGCGUGCUUAACACAUGCAAGUCGAACGGAAAGGCCCUGCUUUUGUGGGGUGCUCGAGUGGCGAACGGGUGAGUAACACGUGGGUAACCUGCCCUUGACUUUGGGAUAACUUCAGGAAACUGGGGCUAAUACCGGAUAGGAGCUCCUGCUGCAUGGUGGGGGUUGGAAAGUUUCGGCGGUUGGGGAUGGACUCGCGGCUUAUCAGCUUGUUGGUGGGGUAGUGGCUUACCAAGGCUUUGACGGGUAGCCGGCCUGAGAGGGUGACCGGCCACAUUGGGACUGAGAUACGGCCCAGACUCCUACGGGAGGCAGCAGUGGGGAAUAUUGCACAAUGGGCGGAAGCCUGAUACAGCAACGCCGCGUGCGGGAUGACGGCCUUCGGGUUGUAAACCGCUUUCGCCUGUGACGAAGCGUGAGUGACGGUAAUGGGUAAAGAAGCACCGGCUAACUACGUG